UACGGCCAUAUAACAUUGAAACAUUGGUUCUCAUAUGAUCACCAAAGUUAAGCAAUACUGAGCCUGGUCAAUACCUAGAUGGGUAACCACUUGGGAAUACCAGGUGCUG